rnacentral:rRNA from 1 species
GAUGAACGCUGGCGGCGUGCUUAACACAUGCAAGUCGAACGGGGAUUAUUUUGACAGAGACUUCGGUUGAAGUCGUUAUAAUCCUAGUGGCGGACGGGUGAGUAACGCGUGGGUAACCUGCCUCACACUGGGGGAUAACAGUCGGAAAUGACUGCUAAUACCGCAUAAGCGCACGGGAUUGCAUGAUCCAGUGUGAAAAACUCCGGUGGUGUGAGAUGGACCCGCGUUGGAUUAGCCAGUUGGCAGGGUAACGGCCUACCAAAGCGACGAUCCAUAGCCGGCCUGAGAGGGUGGACGGCCACAUUGGGACUGAGACACGGCCCAGACUCCUACGGGAGGCAGCAGUGGGGAAUAUUGCACAAUGGGGGAAACCCUGAUGCAGCGACGCCGCGUGAAGGAAGAAGUAUCUCGGUAUGUAAACUUCUAUCAGCAGGGAAGAAAAUGACGGUACCUGACUAAGAAG